GACGAACGCUGGCGGCGUGCUUAACACAUGCAAGUCGAACGGAAGGCCCUGCUUUUGUGGGGUGCUCGAGUGGCGAACGGGUGAGUAACACGUGAGUAACCUGCCCUUGACUUUGGGAUAACUUCAGGAAACUGGGGCUAAUACCGGAUAGGAGCUCCUGCCGCAUGGUGGGGGUUGGAAAGUUUCGGCGGCUGGGGAUGGACUCGCGGCUUAUCAGCUUGUUGGUGGGGUAGUGGCUUACCAAGGCUUUGACGGGUAGCCGGCCUGAGAGGGUGACCGGCCACAUUGGGACUGAGAUACGGCCCAGACUCCUACGGGAGGCAGCAGUGGGGAAUAUUGCACAAUGGGCGGAAGCCUGAUGCAGCAACGCCGCGUGCGGGAUGACGGCCUUCGGGUUGUAAACCGCUUUCGCCUGUGACGAAGCGUGAGUGACGGUAAUGGGUAAAGAAGCACCGGCUAACUACGUGCCAGCAGCCGCGGUGAUACGUAGGGUGCGAGCGUUGUCCGGAUUUAUUGGGCGUAAAGGGCUCGUAGGUGGUUGAUCGCGUCGGAAGUGUAAUCUUGGGGCUUAACCCUGAGCGUGCUUUCGAUACGGGUUGACUUGAGGAAGGUAGGGGAGAAUGGAAUUCCUGGUGGAGCGGUGGAAUGCGCAGAUAUCAGGAGGAACACCAGUGGCGAAGGCGGUUCUCUGGGCCUUUCCUGACGCUGAGGAGCGAAAGCGUGGGGAGCGAACAGGCUUAGAUACCCUGGUAGUCCACGCUGUAAACGGUGGGUACUAGGUGUGGGGUCCAUUCCACGGGUUCCGUGCCGUAGCUAACGCUUUAAGUACCCCGCCUGGGGAGUACGGCCGCAAGGCUAAAACUCAAAGGAAUUGACGGGGCCCCGCACAAGCGGCGGAGCAUGCGGAUUAAUUCGAUGCAACGCGUAGAACCUUACCUGGGUUUGACAUGGAUCGGGAGUGCUCAGAGAUGGGUGUGCCUCUUUUGGGGUCGGUUCACAGGUGGUGCAUGGCUGUCGUCAGCUCGUGUCGUGAGAUGUUGGGUUAAGUCCCUCAACGAGCGCAACCCUUGUUCACUGUUGCCAGCACGUUAUGGUGGGGACUCAGUGGAGACCGCCGGGGUCAACUCGGAGGAAGGUGGGGAUGACGUCAAGUCAUCAUGCCCCUUAUGUCCAGGGCUUCACGCAUGCUACAAUGGCUGGUACAGAGAGUGGCGAGCCUGUGAGGGUGAGCGAAUCUCGGAAAGCCGGUCUCAGUUCGGAUUGGGGUCUGCAACUCGACCUCAUGAAGUCGGAGUCGCUAGUAAUCGCAGAUCAGCAACGCUGCGGUGAAUACGUUCACGGG
rnacentral:rRNA from 1 species